rnacentral:rRNA from 1 species
AACGAACGCUGGCGGCAGGCCUAACACAUGCAAGUCGAGCGCGCCUUCGGGUGAGCGGCGGACGGGUUAGUAACGCGUGGGAACGUGCCCUUCUCUACGGAAUAGCCUCUGGAAACGGAGAGUAAUACCGUAUACGCCCUUUGGGGGAAAGAUUUAUCGGAGAAGGAUCGGCCCGCGUUAGAUUAGGUAGUUGGUGGGGUAACGGCCUACCAAGCCUACGAUCUAUAGCUGGUUUUAGAGGAUGAUCAGCAACACUGGGACUGAGACACGGCCCAGACUCCUACGGGAGGCAGCAGUGGGGAAUCUUAGACAAUGGGGGCAACCCUGAUCUAGCCAUGCCGCGUGAGUGAUGAAGGCCUUAGGGUCGUAAAGCUCUUUCGCCUGUGAUGAUAAUGACAGUAGCAGGUAAAGAAACCCCGGCUAACUCCGUGCCAGCU